rnacentral:rRNA from 1 species
CAAAAGCGUAUAUUAAAGUUGUUGCAGUUAAAAAGCUCGUAGUUGAACCUUGGGCUUGGCUGGCCGGUCCAUCUUUUUUGAUGCGUACUGGACCCAGCCGAGCCUUUCCUUCUGGCUAGCCUUUUGGCGAACCAGGACUUUUACUUUGAAAAAAUUAGAGUGUUCAAAGCGGGCCUUUGCUCGAAUAUAUUAGCAUGGAAUAAUAGAAUAGGACGUUAUGGUUCUAUUUUGUUGGUUUCUAGGACCAUCGUAAUGAUUAAUAGGGACGGUCGGGGGUAUCAGUAUUCAGUUGUCAGAGGUGAAAUUCUUGGAUUUACUGAAGACUAACUACUGCGAAAGCAUUUACCAAGGACGUUUUCAUUAA